AUUUAUGUUUGCUUAAAUUGAUCAGCCACAACAUUAAAGCCACUGAAAGGUGAAGUGAAUAACAUUGGUUAUAUUGUUACAAUGGCACCUUUCAAGGGGUGGGAUAUAUUGGGCAGAAAGUCAACAGUCAGUUUUUGAAUUGCAUGUGUUGGAAGCAGGAAAAAUGGGCAAGUGAAAAGAUCUGAGUGACUUUGACAAGGGCCAAAUAGAGAUGGCUAGAUGACUGGGCCAGAGCAUCUCCAAAAAGGCAAGUCUUGUGGGAUGUUCUUGGUAAGCAGUGGUUAGUACCAAAAGUAAUGCAAGGAAGGACAAAUGUUAAACAGGCGUCAGCAUCGUGGG